CAACCGCUGGCUUCACACCGAGGCCCCGCCUCCCACGUGCGGGCGCUCCUCUCCUAGAGCUCACUGGUCUUUCCAGAAGUCCUCAAGUUUCAUGCGACCAGCAGUGAACUUUACUGGGUUCUUUCAUCAUUUCCUUCCCAGCAUGCACUUGUACAUGCUGUACACUCCACUCUCUUCAUUACCACAACAGGACUACAAAAUCUUUAGAGGAUGAACAGCCAAACAAGGUGACUUACCGCCUGCCAGGAGAGCUUAUUAAAGGAUUUCAUUUCUUGGGCAUCCA
rnacentral:lncRNA from 1 species